ensembl:snRNA U1 U1 spliceosomal RNA
AUACUUACUUGGCAGGGAGGUUAUAAUGAUCACGAAGGUGGUUUUUCCAGGGCAAUGCUUGUCCAUUGCACUCUGGACAUACUGACUCCUGCGAUUUCCCCAAAUGUGGGAAAGUCAACUGCAUAAUUUGUGGUAGUGGUGGACUAUGUUUGCGCUUUCCCCUG